UGGGUGUAUCACGCAUUCAUCCAAUGACGUCAUGCAUACAGUGAGGGGUGAUUAGCGCCUGGGUACCAUUUAGGUAUCAACGCUAAGUGGCGUGGGCUGAUGGCGGAUUAAUUCAGAAAAAAACAGGUAAAAAAAAUAUGUAAAUAGUCUCUAAUUAGUUUUCUGUUAGUCAGUUUAGAAUUCUGACAAGGGAACAAUGUAAUAUACGACUAUUUAGGAAAAGUCAUGGAAGGAGGGUUUAGCUUUAAAAAUGACAGUUUUAUUUUAAUUACAAACUCAAACGCAAAUUGGCGUAGGCAUUUGGCGGUUCUAGAGUUAAACCAAAAUAGAGCAGAUUUUCCGUAUUCAGAUCCACAUCCUGUGUCUGAGUUGGCAGACAGGCACAUUUUUUGUCCAUAGAUAAAACAAGAAAGCAGAAAACAAAAUUAAAUAAAAGAUUUCAACCCCCUAUAGUUUGUCAGUUACAGUUUGCUAUGCGGGGCUCCUACCAGUUACAAUGUUUCCGAUUAACACAAGACAGACAUCCAAAACAUUAAGGAAGUACAGGUUUUACCCUUACAGUAUAGGGGAAGAUAAAGAUUUACAGUAUGUAAUGUAAUACAAUAGAUAUUUCUUUCACUCUCAUUGUCUUUCGCUCUCUCUCUCUCAUUCACUCUCAUUGUCUUUCGCUCUCUCUCUCUCAUUCACUCUCUCUCCUCUUUCCUGACCCGCGGUUCCAGGUUUGAGAUACUUAAGAGUGCUCCAAUUUGCAUAAUCACAAUCAAACGACCAGUGUGUCUUUAUCAGAGUAUGUGAGCGGAGGGGAUCAGGUAGCGGAGGGUGGGGAUGGGGGGUAGUGCAGGGUGGCGGUGGGGGGUAGGUGGUAGCGGAGGCGGUCAGAUGUGGGUGGAGAAGUCGGAGGUGGGAGGGGGCAUGAGCGUGGCAUGGUAUUGGACCAGGCCAGAAGGCUGUCACUCAAUAUUGCUCCAGUAGCCUAUCUUUGGGCUGAUAUCGCAUUUAUUUGUAUUUCUAGAGAACUUCCAAUCAGCAGCAACAAACCGCUUUUCAAAGGCGGAAGAAAAAAGGUGCAAAACUCACAAAAUGAACCGUUUAUCCUGGUAGAGAAAUGGACUUCUCUAAGUGACCUCGUUGAUAAUACUGUAUGCAGAAAUAAUUGGGGAACCUAGGCGCUAUUCUCCCUGCUGUAUUGGUCAUGAAGAACACAAAGUCCAUUGGCUGAGGCGUGGUGGUCUACACUCUGGCGUGGUGGUCUACACUCUGGCGUGGUCGUCUACACUCUGGCGUGGUCGUCUACACUCUGGCGUGGUCGUCUACACUCUGGCGUGG
ensembl:lncRNA